UCUCUCUCUCUCUCUCUGUCUCUCAAUCUUUUUUCUUGUAUGUGUUUGCUCUGGUAAACUCUUCUUCUCAAAAUCUAGCUUCGUUUUUUUUGUUUCUCUCAGUUUCGUGGGUUUCUUCUCUUUUUCUCCUUCUCCUUCUUCUUCUUCUUCUUUGCUUCAGUGUAUACGGUAAUCUAACAUGCUUUCUACUUCAAUCCAAGCUCACCUCUAAACACAACCACAAAACAAGAAAUUUCAAUAAUGGCUGGCAAGCCCACUGCUCUUUCGUUCUAUUUAGCUUGUUCUUCACUUACUGAGUUACUGUGCCUGUUGGUUUUCCUCUUCUCGAUCUUUGCUUUGCCGCUUCUUGUUCAAUGCCAUACUGAUCCCACCGAUGGAAACUAAGGAGAGCCGAAUGCUAUAGUUUCUGAGUUUGAUUUUCGGGCACAACUAAAAAAGAAGGAAUUUAUUCAUCAGGGCGAAAUCAUUUUAAUCGUGCUAUGCUAAACUGGAGGUCUUAAAUGAUCAAAAUUUCAAGCUCUACAGGUCAUGUACACAUCAUUGAACAGUCCUUUGCAGUUGACCAAUUGGAAAAGCAAUGGUGGUGAUCCGUGUGCAGAAUCAUGGAAAGGAGUUACUUGUGAGGGAUCAGCUGUUGUUUCCAUUCAGAUUUCUGGGUUAGGACUCAGCGGGACGGUGGGGUACUUGCUUUCGGACCUUAUGUCAGUAAGAACAUUUGAUCUAAGUGUCAACAACAUUCACGAAUCAAUCCCAUAUCAAUUACCGCCAAAUCUUACAAGCCUAAAUCUUGCAAGAAACAACUUCAGUGGAAAUCUUCCUUAUUCCAUUUCUAGCAUGGUUUCUCUUACUUACUUGAAUGUGAGCCGUAAUUCACUUUCCCAACCAGUUGGAGAUGUUUUUUCCAAUCUUUCUCUUUUCACAACCCUGGACCUCUCUUUCAACAAUUUUAGUGGAGAUCUUCCCAGUUCAUUUAGUUCAUCAUCCAAUCUUUCAACUCUCAAUGUUCAGAACAAUCAACUGACUGGUUCUCUAGAUGUUCUUACGGGUUUGCCUUUGACUACUUUAAAUGUUGCAAACAACCAUUUCAGUGGAUGGAUACCUCAAGAGCUUAGUUCAAUUCCAAAUUUUAAAUAUGAUGGGAAUUCUUUUGACAAUGGUCCUGCUCCUCCUCCACCACCAUUUACCCCACCACCACCUGGUAGAUCUCAUAAUAAUCGUAGUCAUUCAGGAUCAGGUGGACGCUCACCCCAAUCUUCUAAUGGCCAGUCAUCUGAAUCGGAUAAGGGAAUGUCAGUGGGGGCUCUUAUAGGCAUAAUCGUGGGUUCUGUGUUUAUAUUUCUCAUUGCACUUGUUAUUUUUUACAUUACAAAAAAUAAAAGGAAGGACAUUGGUGCCAAAGUUUCCCGGCGAAGUCAGUCUGCUGGCACAAAUGAUAUAAAUACAGAGAUAGAAGAGCAGAGAGUGAAAAACAUUGCUGCUAUUACGGAUUUGAAGCUCCGACCUGCUGAAAAAUUGGUAGUUGAGAGGUUACAGGGGAAUUCUGGGUCCAUAAAGAGAAUGAAGUCACCAAUCACUGCUACUUCGUAUACCGUUGCUUCUCUCCAAACAGCAACAAAUAGCUUCAGUCAAGAGUUUAUAAUUGGUGAAGGUUCUCUUGGUCGUGUUUACAAAGGGGAGUUUCCUAAUGGAAAGGCAAUGGCUAUUAAGAAGAUCGACAAUGCAGCACUUUCAUUACAGGAGGAAGACAACUUUCUUGAAGCUGUUUCAAAUAUGUCUCGGUUGAGGCACCCUAACAUUGUUUCACUGAUAGGAUAUUGUGCAGAGCAUGGGCAGCGUCUUUUGGUAUAUGAAUAUAUAGGGAAGGGAAGUCUGCACGAUAUGCUGCACUUUGCUGAUGAUGGUAGCAAGACUCUAUCUUGGAAUGCACGUGUUAGGGUAGCACUUGGGACGGCGCGGGCUUUAGAGUACCUGCAUGAAGUCUGCUUGCCUUGUGUUGUGCAUCGAAAUUUCAAGUCAGCAAAUAUUUUACUUGAUGAAGAGUUCAAUCCCCUCUUGUCAGACUGCGGUUUAGCUGCUCUCACGCCAAACACAGAGAGGCAGGUUUCAACGCAGAUGGUUGGAUCAUUUGGGUAUAGUGCUCCUGAAUUUGCCUUGUCAGGAGUAUACACUGUAAAGAGUGAUGUGUACAGCUUUGGUGUGGUGAUGUUG
rnacentral:misc_RNA from 1 species